GGAAAAGGAUGUGGGAAUUCGAAGACAACUAGGAUGUUGGCUCAGAAGCAGCCAUUCAUUCAAAGAGUGCGUAACAGCUCACUAGUCGAGAGGUCCUGCGCCGAAAAUGUCCGGGGCUAAAACAUGCCACCGAAGCUUGGGAAUGACAUAGUCAUUGGUAGAGGAGCAUUCUUAACGCGAAGAAGCAGUACCGGAAGGAGCUGUGGAGUGCUGAGAAGAGAGAAUGCCGGAAUGAGUAGCGAGAACAAGGUGAGAAUCCUUGUGGCCGAAUAUCCAAGGUCUCCAGGGUAAAGCUGAUCUGCCCUGGGUAAGUCGGGACCUAAGGUGAGGCUGAAAAGCGUAGCCGAUGGACAACAGGUUGAUAUUCCUGUACCGCAUGGUAACAGAACUGUGGGGACACGGGAGGGAAACAUGGGCCGGAAAUGGAAAGUCCGGUACAAACGGGGUAGUCGCACAGCAGGCAAAUCCGCUGUGCAUGAGACGAAGCCGUGAUGUGGAGCGAACUAAAGUAGUGAAGCAUGUGCCCCCUCCUGUCGAGAAAAGCCGCUAUUGUUUGCCAUGCGCCCGUACCGUAAACCGACACAGGUGGAUGAGGAGAGAAUCCUAAGGCCGGCGGGAGAAGCAUUGUUAAGGAACUCGGCAAAAUGACCCCGUAACUUCGGGAGAAGGGGUGCCAACGAGAGUUGGCCGCAGAGAAUAGGCUCAAGCAACUGUUUAGCAAAAACACAGGUCUAUGCAAAACCGUAAGGUGAGGUAUAUGGGCUGACGCCUGCCCGGUGCUGGAAGGUUAAGAGGAGAGGUUAGCGGUAACGCGAAGCUUUGAAUUUAAGCCCCAGUAAACGGCGGCCGUAACUAUAACGGUCCUAAGGUAGCGAAAUUCCUUGUCGGGUAAGUUCCGACCCGCACGAAAGGCGUAAUGAUUUGAGCGCUGUCUCGACAAUGCAUCCGGUGAAAUUGAAGUACCAGUGAAGAUGCUGGUUACCCGCGCCAGGACGGAAAGACCCCAUGGAGCUUUACUCCAGCCUGAUACUGGGAUUCGGUAUUGCAUGUACAGGAUAGGUGGGAGGCUAAGAACUCAUGGCGCCAGCCGUGAGGGAGCCGAUGUUGGGAUACCACCCCUGCAGUACUGGGUUUCUAACCUGCGCCCGUGACCCGGGCGGGGGACAAUGUCAGGCGGGGAGUUUGACUGGGGCGGUCGCCUCCGAAAGGGUAUCGGAGGCGCUCAAAGGUUCCCUCAGAAUGGUUGGAAACCAUUCGAAGAGUGCAAAGGCAGAAGGGAGCUUGACUGCGACACCGACGGGUGGAGCAGGUACGAAAGUAGGACUUAGUGAUCCGGUGGUAUAAAGUGGGAUUGCCAUCGCUCAACGGAUAAAAGCUACCCUGGGGAUAACAGGCUUAUCACUCCCAAGAGUUCACAUCGACGGAGUGGUUUGGCACCUCGAUGUCGGCUCAUCGCAUCCUGGGGCUGUAGUAGGUCCCAAGGGUUGGGCUGUUCGCCCAUUAAAGCGGUACGCGAGCUGGGUUCAGAACGU
rnacentral:rRNA from 1 species